rnacentral:rRNA from 1 species
AAUAGAUACCCCGGUAGUCCACGCCCUAAACGAUGCUCACUAGGUGUUGGGGAAGCGAUUCCUUGGUACCGUAGCUAACGCGUGAAGUGAGCCGCCUGGGGAGUACGGCCGCAAGGUUAAAACUCAAAGGAAUUGACGGGGACCCGCACAAGCGGUGGAUGAUGUGGAUUAAUUCGAUGCAACGCGAACAACCUUACCUACCCUUGACAUGUCCGGAAGCCUGCUGAAAGGCGGGGGUGCUCGAAAGAGAACCGGAACACAGGUGCUGCAUGGCUGUCGUCAGCUCGUGUCGUGAGAUGUUGGGUUAAGUCCCGCAACGAGCGCAACCCUUGUCCCUAGUUGCUACGCAAGGGCACUCUAGGGAGACUGCCGGUGACAAACCGGAGGAAGGUGGGAUGACGUCAAGUCCUCAUGGCCCUUAUGGGUAGGGCUUCACACGUCAUACAAUGGACGGUACAGAGGGUUGCCAACCCGCGAGGGGGAGCCAAUCCCAGAAAGCCGUUCGUAGUCCGGAUCGCAGUCUGCAACUCGACUGCGUGAAGUCGG